GUUGAACGCUGGCGGCAUGCUUUACACAUGCAAGUCGAACGGUAACAGGGUGCUUGCUCCUUGGGUGACGAGUGGCGGACGGGUGAGUAAUGUCUGGGGAUCUGCCCGAUAGAGGGGGAUAACCACUGGAAACGGUGGCUAAUACCGCAUAACGUCGCAAGACCAAAGAGGGGGACCUUCGGGCCUCUCACUAUCGGAUGAACCCAGAUGGGAUUAGCUAGUAGGCGGGGUAAUGGCCCACCUAGGCGACGAUCCCUAGCUGGUCUGUGAGGAUGACCAGCCACACUGGAACUGAGACACGGUCCAGACUCCUACGGGAGGCAGCAGUGGGGAAUAUUGCACAAUGGGCGCAAGCCUGAUGCAGCCAUGCCGCGUGUAUGAAGAAGGCCUUCGGGUUGUAAAGUACUUUCAGCGGGGAGGAAGGCGGUGAGGUUAAUAACCUCGCCGAUUGACGUUACCCGCAGAAGAAGCACCGGCUAACUCCGUGCCAGCCGCCGCCGUAA
rnacentral:rRNA from 1 species